UACGUAGGGUGCAAGCGUUAAUCGGAAUUACUGGGCGUAAAGCGUGCGCAGGCGGUUUCUUAAGUCAGAUGUGAAAGCCCCGGGCUUAACCUGGGAACUGCAUUUGUGACUGCAUGGCUAGAGUGCGGCAGAGGGGGAUGGAAUUCCGCGUGUAGCAGUGAAAUGCGUAGAUAUGCGGAGGAACACCGAUGGCGAAGGCAAUCCCCUGGGCCUGCACUGACGCUCAUGCACGAAAGCGUGGGGAGCAAACAGG
rnacentral:rRNA from 1 species